CCAGGCAGAUUGUUUCCAAAACUCUACACAUAAGACACAAAAAAACCAAAAAUCGUCGAAAUGCUGCAAAUUCUACGGGAUAUGGCAAACUUUUUCUGCCUUCAGUAUCGCUACUUUUGGCUGGCCUCUAUAGUGGCCAUCCCAUACCUAUCCUACAGAUCGCAACAGAGCGACUUCAAUAUGCUGGACGGCUUUAUAAUGUACGCGGCUGUGUUCAUUGGAGCCUUUGGAAUGAUUCAGGACGAGCGGAAUGGUCGUCCUCGUUAGCGCAAACUGGGGAAAAAACUGCGAUGCGAAAACCUGUUUCUCAGCUAGAAACCACUGACCAAAAAAAUUCAAUUAAUGACUUGCCCUAAAGAAGAGCCACUUGAUUGAUGUGUAUUACGUAUUACGAGUUUUUUUCUUAUUUUCGCCGGCGAGAUUGUUGGCGAGGCCGAAAGCCGCCAGUCCGACGAGGCAGAAAGCCCAGCUCCACACGAUUCCCUGCCACAUUUUAGCCAUGUUCGGAGGUAUAUACUGUAUGCACUUCCACACUGAGAUGCUUCCACGAUCUUUGGCUAAUUAUGUAUUAAAAUAUUCAGUUGCAUGGACGGGCA